ensembl:lincRNA
GCCCCCACCGGGACGGGGCCCCGGGGCCAUGGCCUCGCGGGGGGCGCGGCCAGGAGUGGAGGCCAGCUCCGGGACCCGCUCCGGGACAGGGCGCAGAGGCCGCGGCGCAGGGGCGCGCGGAGCACGAGGGGCUCCCCGCGAAGGCCCACGCAGAUGGGGAGCCUAAGGCCGGGGUUAGGCGCCGGCGGAAGGGGGUUGGGAGGCACUGGGUUCCUGAGGCCCGGGCCAGCGUCCUGAGGGGCAUUCAGAAUCCUUGGCAAGGUCCUCCUGUCCAAGAGGCUUCUGCAGACGGCAUGAAAGGGCCUCCCUCGGGCAGAGCCUCUAAGCCCCUGGAGAGCAGGCCGCUGAGGGAGACCCUCCGGGGCUUCUGCACAUCCGAGGACAGUGACAUCAAUAUCACCAGUGGGGAAGAGGACCACAAGGAGCAGCCUUUCCCAGGCGUCUGCAACCCCAAAGCGAAGGAGAACAGUGGCCAUGUCCCCCGGGCUCUCCCGGACAGCCGGGCGGCACCACCAGAGGGCCUUUGCUGCUACAUCUGCGGGUCCCCGCUGUCCCCGGCCUCGCACCACCAGGUCCACGUGCAGAAGCAGGAGAAGCUGGCGCAGGCCCCGUUCUUCCCCUUCCUGUGGCUGCACAGCCCGCCCCCAGGGGCACAGCCCAUCAGUGAGGGCGGCAGCACCCUGGUGUGCGCCAGCUGCUUCUCCUCCCUCACGCAGCAGUGGCAGAGCUUCGAGCUGGCCAACGUGCCGGUGCUGCAGCGACUCUAUGUGGUGCCCCUGGACAGCCACGCCCCUGGCAUGGCCUCCAAGGGCAGGAGGCUCCCGAGAGAAGAGGGCCUGCCCUCCGGGGCCCUGCGAGAGGCCUGCUACCUUUGUGGGGAGGACUGUACCCCAGAUGCCCGGGCGGUCCCCUCCAGGAUCCUCAAUGGCAACGCCAGGAGCGCCAUGCAUUUCCCCUUCCUCAGCCUCCUUCCCUGCCCGCCCAACGCCCAGGGCCCCAACAAGCGCUGUGAGGUCCGCAGCUGCCCCAAGUGUUUCAGCGUCCUAGAGGAUGUCUGGGCCCUGUACAGGGCCUGCCAGAACGAGGAGCUCAUCACCUCCGUGCAGGGCUUCCUGGGCAGGUACCACCAGGCCUUCUCCGCCUCCGACCCUGCCCUCUCCGAGCUGCCCGCGUCAGCCCAGGGCGGCCCCGUGUCCAUCUGCUACAUCUGUGGGGCUGAGCUGGGCCCCGGGAAGGAGUUCCAGCUCAACGUGAACCCUGCCAGCCGCUUGGGCGAGAAGGAGCCCUUCUUCCCCUUCCUGACUGUGUACCCGCCUGCCCCUCGUGCCAGGCCUGUGGACUCCACCGGCCUGGUGGCCACCUGUGUGCUCUGCUACCAUGACCUGCUGGCCCAGUGGCUGCAGCAUGAGGCCCGCAGCACCCACCAUGCUGUCAGCGCCUGGUCCCGGCAGUACCAGGUGGAGACAUUCGUGUGCUUCUUUUGCCAGCAGGAGAAGAAACGGUGUCUGGGCCUGAAGUCCGUGCGGGUGGCCCGGCUGCCCCUGUUCCUAUACACCUUGCGAGCAAGCCACAGCCUGUUGGUGGAUGACGGACAGCAGCUGAUCAUUGGCGCUUGCGUGGAGUGUGGGACCCUGGUGUGUGCGGGUCAAGGGCUCAACCGCCAGGGACCCAUGAGCUGGAGCUCCCCAGUGGCAACAGCGACGAAGAACUUUCUUCACAGAGAUGUCAUGAGGGUGAGACAAAGCUGUUGACGUGUUCUGCACAGACCAAGAUCCCAGUAAAAACUCGGUAAUUGUUCAUAUUUGUUUAUGGGCCUUACUCAUCAUUCCCCAGUGAGUCUUCAGCCUCCUCUUGAUCCUUCCAGGGAUGGAGAACUCACUCCCUCAGAAACCAGGCCUCACCUGUGAUGUGUCAGGAAGGAAUGACAGGCUUCUGAGGAUCCUCUGCAGCUCUGAGAAUUCUGCCUGGGGAGUUCUGCCGAACAGGAAUCGUUUUGGGAGGGGCUUUUGGACCCCAUUUGUGACUCAGGCCUGUCUUCCUUCUUGUUGUUUCUGGUUCUGGUUUAUUACCUUGUCUCAGAACGAACGCCUGUGGCUCCUAGUGACUCUGCUCGUGGCAUCUUCUGAUGUCUCUGCUCCCCCUUCCCCUGCAUGCCUGGCAAAUUCUUGAUCUUGUAUUUCCUAGGGGAAAAAAGGGGAACCUGCAACAUCAUGUUUUCCCUCAGGAUGUGGAGAGAGAAAUUUCUAACCUCAAUGAUGCCUGCUAAAUUAUACUUAAGAAGGGGGCCAGGCACUGGCAUAUUUUCUAAGCAUUCCCCGUAUGCUUCCCUCUUUCCCCCAUGAAAACUCCUUUACUUUUCUCUAAAAUUCUGCAUGGGAGGGAUUAUUACCGCUACUUUAACGUAGGCAAUUAAAGCUAUGCAUGUUCCUCUAAGCACUGCUUUAGCUGCACCCCACACUUUGUGAUAAGUCAUUUCUCAUUCUCAUCUCAUUUGAAAUAUUUUUCAAUUUCCCUGUGUUUUUUUAGAAAACAUGGAUUAUUUAGAAGU